rnacentral:rRNA from 1 species
CGCGUAGGUGGUAGUGCAAGUCUGAGGUGGAAUCCCAGGGCUUAACCCUGGAACUGCCUUGGAAACUGUAUUACUUGAGUCAGUGAGGGGAGGGUAGAAUUCCUGGUGUAGCGGUGAAAUGCGUAGAUAUCAGGAGGAAGGCCUGUGGCGAAGGCGGCCCUCUGGCGCUGAACUGACACUGAGGCGCGAAAGCGUGGGGAGCAAACAGGAUUAGAUACCCUGGUAGUCCACGCCCUAAACGGUGGGUACUAGGUGUAGGGCUCGUAAGGGUUCUGUGCCGAAGCGAAAGCAUUAAGUACCCCGCCUGGGGAGUACGGCCGCAAGGUUGAA